GUAGGAGGCAAGCGUUGUCCGGAAUUACUGGGCGUAAAGCGCGUGUAGGCGGUCUGAAUAGUCUGCUGUGAAAGCGCCUGGCUUAACCGGGCGAGGUCGGCGGAAACUCUCAGACUGGAGGCCGGUAGAGGGGGGUGGAAUUCCCGGUGUAGUGGUGAAAUGCGUAGAGAUCGGGAGGAACACCUGUGGCGAAGGCGGCCCCCUGGGCCGCGCCUGACGCUGAGACGCGAAGGCUAGGGGAGCGAACGGGAUUAGAUACCCCGGUAGUCCUAGCAGUAAACGAUGUGUACUAGGUGUGGGGGGUAUCGAGCCCCUCCGUGCCGCAGCUAACGCAAUAAGUACACCGCCUGGGGAGUACCGCCGCAAGGUUA
rnacentral:rRNA from 1 species